rnacentral:ncRNA from 1 species
CGAUGAGGUAGAGGUCGCAGCAUGAAUCAGUACAACCGGAGCAGGCGUAGAGCCGCCGCGAAUCCCGGUUGAAAAGGUCCUGCUGCCGAAGUGCAGAUUCCGCUCUGGGAAUCCUGUGCUGGGGCUGUACCCGAAAGGGACAGAACUGUCACAAUGAAAAAAUCCAAGCAUUUCAUUGUGUUGAGCUAUCUUAAAG